GUGCUUGCUUCAGCAGCACACAUACUGAAAAUUGGAACAAUAUAGAAAAGAUUAGCAUGGCCCCUGCACAAAGAUGACAUGGAAAUUGAUGAAGCAUUCCAUAUUUUU
rnacentral:snRNA from 1 species